ACUACAUUUCCCAGUGGCCUUUGCGGGAGCAGACUUCCCCUUCGAUCUGUGAGAGGACCGGGACUACACUUCCCAGGGGGCUUUGCGGAACUCGCUGGGCGCAUGGAAGCCGUCGGCCGCUGGUUUCAGCUCCCAGGAUGAUUCACGAGCUGCUCUUGGCGCUGAGCGGGUACCCCGGGGCCGCGUUCACCUGGAGCAAGAGAAGCGGCCUCCAGGUGUCCCAGGAGCUGCCGUUCCUGCACCCCAGUGAGAGCAGCGUCCUGAACCGGCUCUGCCGCCUCGGCACCGACUACAUUCGCUUCACCGAGUUCAUCGAGCAGUACACGGGCCACGUGCAACAGCAGGAUCAUCACCCUUCCCAGCAGAACCAGUGUGGGUUACAUGGGAUUUACUUGCGGGCCUUCUGUACAGGGCUCGAUUCAGUGCUGCAGCCCUAUCGACAGGCAUUGCUUGACCUGGAGCAGGAGUUCCUGGCUGACCCUCACCUCUCCAUCUCCCACAUUAACUACUCCCUGGAUCAGUUCCAACUCCUCUUUCCCUCGGUGAUGGUUGUGGUGGAGCAGAUCAAGACCCAGAAGAUUCAUGGCUGUCAGCUCCUGGAGACUGUACAUAAACACAGCUGUGGGGGGCUGCCCCCUGUGCGUAGUGCACUGGAAAAGAUCCUGGCUGUGUGUCAUGGAGUCAUGUAUAAGCAGCUCUCUGCCUGGAUGCUGCAUGGACUGCUCCUAGAUCAACAUGAAGAGUUCUUUGUUAAACAGGGCCCAUCUUCUGGGAAUGUCCCUGCCCAGCCUGAAGAAGAGGACGACGACCUGGGAAUUGGGGGACUAACAGGAAAACAGCUGCGAGAGCUGCAGGACCUGCGCCUGAUUGAGGAAGAGAACAUGUUAGCACCAUCUCUGAAACAGUUUUCUCUGCGAGUGGAAAUGUUACCAUCAUACAUACCUGUGCGGGUUGCUGAGAAAAUCCUCUUUGUGGGAGAAUCAGUACAGAUGUUUGAGAAUCAAAAUGUGAACCUGACCAGAAAAGGCUCUAUCUUGAAGAACCAGGAAGACACUUUUGCUGCAGAGCUACACCGCCUCAAGCAGCAGCCACUCUUUAGUCUGGUGGACUUUGAGGCUGUGGUUGACUGGAUUCGGAGCACAGUUGCUGAGCACCUAUGGAAGCUGAUGGUAGAAGAAUCAGAUUUACUAGGACAACUGAAGAUUAUUAAGGAUUUUUAUCUAUUGGGGAGAGGAGAAUUGUUCCAAGCCUUCAUAGACACUGCACAGCACAUGUUAAAAACCCCACCCACAGCUGUAACUGAACAUGAUGUCAAUGUGGCGUUCCAGCAGUCUGCUCACAAGGUGUUGCUAGAUGAUGAUAAUCUCCUACCUUUAGUCCACCUUACCAUUGAGUAUCAUGGAAAAGAGCAUAAAGAUGCUUCUCAGGCUCGGGAAGGGCCUUCCCGGGAGUUAUCUCCCCGUGAAGCCCCCACAUCUGGUUGGGCAGCUCUGGGACUCUCUUAUAAAGUGCAGUGGCCAUUGCAUAUCCUCUUCACUCCUGCUGUCUUGGAGAAAUACAACGUUGUAUUCAAAUACCUGCUGAGUGUGAGGCGGGUCCAGGCUGAGUUGCAGCAUUGCUGGGCUCUCCAGAUGCAGCGCAAGCACCUGAAGUCCAACAGAACUGAUGCCAUCAAGUGGCGUUUGAGGGAUCACAUGGCCUUCCUUGUGGAUAAUCUUCAGUACUAUCUGCAGGUGGAUGUGCUGGAGUCUCAGUUCUCACAGCUUCUGCUGCAGAUAAACUCCACUCGGGAUUUUGAGAGCAUCCGAUUGGCUCAUGAUCACUUCCUAAGUAACCUGUUGGCUCAAUCCUUUAUCCUGCUCAAACCUGUUUUCCAUUGCCUGAAUGAAAUCCUGGAUCUCUGUCACAGUUUCUGUUCUCUGGUCAGUCAGAAUUUGGGCCCAUUGGAUGAGCGUGGAGCUGCACAGCUGAGCAUCCUGGUAAAGGGCUUCAGCCGUCAGUCCUCGCUCCUCUUCAAGAUUCUCUCCAGCGUUCGCAACCACCAGAUAAACUCCGACUUGGCUCAGCUGCUGCUCCGCCUGGACUACAACAAAUACUACACCCAGGCUGGGGGGACUUUGGGCAGUUUUGGGGUUUGAGCACCUAGACCAGUUUUUUUGGCUGAGAACUAGCACACAGCAAGAUGUAGCAAGGACAACAACUGCUGCUGCAUAUGAAAAGAGACAGAAGAUAGCCAAAAGCAAACAGGUCUCUUCUGCACUUAAGCCUGCAACUAAAGAAGCCUGGGAGGCUAAUAGAAAAUAUCUAACAGAUUAAUAGAAAAGGGACACAAUACAUCAUGCUGUGGAGGUCAUGGCCACAGGAGCAGAUUACAAGACAGUUUAGCAGAGGUUUUUGUUUUAAAAUGGUUUGGUCUUCAAACUAUUAGAUCAGAAGAAAGUGGGGCCCGAGGGAUGGGGGGGGGUAGAGAGCGAUCAAGCUGGGCAGGCUCACACACACAUCUCCAAUCACAUCACUUUCCUGCAGCAGAGAGGAGGCUUUUCCUUCAUCAGUGUCUCAGCUGGUUGUUGCAGCACCUCUGAUCAUCCUUCUGCCAGCUAUGGAUUAUAUGAGGUCUUGGUAUCGGAGUGCAGCUGACUAAGGCCUGUGUGUCACUGUGUGGUAACUGCUUGGUUGUGUGAUGGGGGCCAGAUGCUGCACUGUUCCUGCAGAGGAAAUGGCUUGCCUCAUACCUGGAAUCUUAAAAGUAGGGUUGUCAAUCACACUUAACACCUGUGAUAAACUGAAAACAAAAUUAAUGCAUUAAUCACAUACCUCUAGGGAGGGAAGGAGACAUGGACA